AGUGAACGCUGGCGGUAGGCCUAACACAUGCCAGUCGAACGGCAGCACAGUAAGAGCUUGCUCUUACGGGUGGCGAGUGGCGGACGGGUGAGGAAUACAUCGGAAUCUACUUUUUCGUGGGGGAUAACGUAGGGAAACUUACGCUAAUACCGCAUACGACCUACGGGUGAAAGCAGGGGAUCAUCGGACCUUGCGCGAUUGAAUGAGCCGAUGUCGGAUUAGCUAGUUGGCGGGGUAAAGGCCCACCAAGGCGACGAUCCGUAGCUGGUCUGAGAGGAUGAUCAGCCACACUGGAACUGAGACACGGUCCAGACUCCUACGGGAGGCAGCAGUGGGGAAUAUUGGACAAUGGGCGCAAGCCUGAUCCAGCCAUACCGCGUGGGUGAAGAAGGCCUUCGGGUUGUAAAGCCCUUUUGUUGGGAAAGAAAAGCAGCAGGUUAAUACCCCGCUGUUCUGACGGUACCCAAAGAAUAAGCACCGGCUAACUUCGUG
rnacentral:rRNA from 1 species